rnacentral:lncRNA from 1 species
GGUAGCAGAUCCACAGGCUGUUGCAUGUGUGUACAAUCUCCCUACCCACCCUGAAGAUGAGCUCAGCUCACCAGCUCCAUCUGCACUUCCAGUAGUGCCCACCUUGAUACCAUUGCAAAUGCCUCCAUGGUCUUGUGUUGCCCUUGGCGUUAGGGAAGCCUUCUUGAAACCUGCCUGCUAACCAUUGCCUGCACCUCCAUGAAAUCCCUCCUUAAGUCUGACUUUUGCCAGCACACCUAAGCUCAUUCUGUUUUCAGGAUGUGUAAAUACAUUUAAAUAAACUUUUUUUUUUUUUUCUAUUGUUAACAGAGCUAGCAAGGUGAGCACAUCCAGGGGCUUAGACACACAAACAGGAUACCACAGGAUAUCAAGUUUCUGCUGAGCUGCAAGAGUUGCCUGUGUGUUCACUGCUCCCCCACAGCAAAUGCAAGUUUUACUUUACCAAGCACCCCAGACAAGAGAAUUUGCUUGAAGUCACAGUCAAGCUGGGAAACAUAUAUAUUUAGGACAUCAUCUCAGAAUACUGUAAUUAUAAUGUAAUUCUGCCCCCAGCUGGUUAAGACAUAGCUGACAUAGGAGACUGAAAGAGAGAGAAUACUGAACCUAUGAACUCUGCUUCUUCUCAGAUGAUGACUACAAUUUGCAUGCAAAGUAUCAGCAGCUUUACUGUUCAGCGCAGGUGCUAAUAGAUUCUAAGUUCUUUAUCCAAGAGAAGCAAAGAGAUAUCCC